rnacentral:lncRNA from 1 species
UAACGAAAUCAUGAUGUCCCAUGCAACUUGAUCCUUGUCUUACGGCCUUCUAUUUUGGGAUUUUGAUAGUAACUCUAGAGGGCUCAACCUUAUUGCUUGAAAUUUUCAUUGCAUUAUUGAAAUGUCAAAUACCAUCAAUCCUCAUGCCAUAUGGCAUACUACUUAAUAUGCCUCAGAACUGAUCACAACCGACGUGGCAGACCGAUCAAUUAGAGCUCGCUAUGAAGCCUCCAAUUGAUUAGUCAAAAACUACUACAUGGUUGAUUUAUGGGCAUGUGGGGAACCCUUCGAAG